AUUGAACGCUGGCGGCAGGCCUAACACAUGCAAGUCGAACGAGUGGCGGACGGGUGAGUAAUGUCUGGGAAACUGCCCGAUGGAGGGGGAUAACUACUGGAAACGGUAGCUAAUACCGCAUACCAUCGGAUGUGCCAAGAUGGGAUGAGCUAGUAGGUGGGGUAACGGCGCACCUAGGCGACGAUCCCUAGCUGGUCUGAUAGGAUGACCAGCCACACUGUAACGUGACCACGGUCCAGACUCCUACGGUAGGCAGCAGUGUGGAAUAUUGCACAAUGGGCGCAAGCCUGAUGCAGCCAUGCCGCGUGUAUGAAGAAGGCCUUCGUGUUGUAAAGUACGUUCAGCGAGGAGGCGUUACUCGCAGAAGAAGCACCGGCUAACUCCGUGCCAGCAGCCGCGGUAAUAC
rnacentral:rRNA from 1 species